rnacentral:ncRNA from 15 species
GGCCUAUUAGCUCAAUUGAUUAGAGCGUCAUGCUAAUAACAUGAAUAUUGUAGGUUCGAGGCUUACAUGGACCA